AACGAACGCUGGCGGCAUGCCUAACACAUGCAAGUCGAACGAGACCUUCGGGUCUAGUGGCGCACGGGUGCGUAACGCGUGGGAACCUGCCCUUAGGUUCGGAAUAACUCCCCGAAAGGGGUGCUAAUACCGGAUAAUGUCUUCGGACCAAAGAUUUAUCGCCUUUGGAUGGGCCCGCGUUGGAUUAGCUAGUUGGUAGGGUAAAAGCCUACCAAGGCGACGAUCCAUAGCUGGUCUGAGAGGAUGAUCAGCCACACUGGGACUGAGACACGGCCCAGACUCCUACGGGAGGCAGCAGUGGGGAAUAUUGGAAAGUGGGCGAAAGCCUGAUCCAGCAAUGCCGCGUGAGUGAUGAAGGCCUUAGGGUUGUAAAGCUCUUUUACCCGGGAUGAUAAUGACAGUACCGGGAGAAUAAGCUCCGGCUAACUCCGUG
rnacentral:rRNA from 1 species